rnacentral:rRNA from 1 species
AUAUAGUCGCGUGAAUCAUCGAAUCUUUGAACGCACAUUGCACUGACUGGAGACCCGGUCAGUACACCUGUUUGAGUAUGUUUUACUCCUCUUGCUGCCGUCUGGUUAUUUAUAGCUAGAUGGCUAGGAAGGACGAUGGGUCUUUGUCUAUUACUAGGCAUGACCUGAAUUCUAUAGUGUAGCCAGUCGAAUGACUCUGCCAGUGCAAUAUUAAACGAUGUUGUCACUUGGUAGUCCAUGUCAGCCUUCAGGUCACUUGAAAAUUACAGGCUACUUGUAGCUUAAAACAACCAGCAUCUCAAAUCAGGUGAGAUUACCCGCUGAACUUAAGCAUAUCAAUAAGCGGAGG